rnacentral:sRNA from 1 species
AUAUUAUUAUCGUAUCUGAUUAUAAAUUAUUACCCAUACCUUUUUUUAAAUAUUAAAAGGGCCACCAUAAUACCACAAAUCACAAUAAUCCAAGCCGUGAGAUGAGGCACUCCGUCGUUACGAUUGUAGCACAUCUUUAAAUAUUUUCAACAUCUUUUUCUAUGGUCGACACGACUCGUCACUGGUGAGAAAGAACAAUAACUUUUAAAGAGAAGAUAUUUUUAAAUUAUUCGAUAGUCAGUGGCUCUAAAAUUAUACGACAAAAAUUAUUUAUUAUUAGUGUUAUUAUCGAUAUUUUAUUGUUGUGAUUCGAAUUUUGUAAGUUGUAACAGCUCACCAUUCCAACUUCCAAGCAUGAAUUUGUUAAAUACACCACGGUUGAAAAAAGAACUAGGACAAUUACUUAACAAACCUCCUUUUGGUAUUAAGGUGAACGUAAAAGAAGGAUCAACCUCUGUUUUAGAAGCUG